GUUAAUCAGCAUUCCGUGUCCUCCAGCCGAAGUAGGAGUGAGACGUUGAAACCGAAGGUGUGAAUUCCAGCGCUGAUAUCAGUCGAACAUCUCAGCGAGCAAGCCACUGAAUGACUGUUUGAGCUCAGGCGCCACAAACAUAAACUUAACAGCUCCCACUGUGCCGGCCUUGCUGCAGGAUCACUCCUCACCUCCCGGGACUUGUGAAGUGCAGGCGGAGAAGGCAGCUCCCGAGGAGGCAGCGGGGAGGCAGGCUCUGGGGGGCGGGGGAGGCCAUGCUCUGUGAUCGAGCUUUCCGUAUGGUAUCGUAUCUGCUGUCGUUAGCCAGGGAAAGGAGUGCAAAAUUAAUCGGUGCCUUUCCCCGAGGCUCCUGUCCGUGCCGGAGGUUGGGGCAAGGUCCGUGCGCCGCUCUUCGCAGCAUUCGAGCCGGGAAAUGCGGCUUUUGCUUCGAUCUGCUGUUUCAUAGUACUAAAUUUUCUUUCCGCGGCUCACCACAUUAAGCGCUCAGGGUGCCGGGGAGUGAAAGCAGAGGAGGCGGGGGUGCUGCGCAGCAUCACCGCACUCGGCUCGGCCCCGGGGCCGAGCGGAGCAGCCUCUCCGAUGGGUUACCUGCGGCUCCGGAUUGCUCUGGCGGCGUCGGGGCACGAGAUGUAGGGAGAAGAAAGGAGAAAGAUCCUUUCAUCAUUACAAUACUGAAGGACAACCAGAACUACAACAGGAUGAAUGAAUUUGAGUUUAAACUGAUUUCUUCAGGAUAUGAGAACAUAAGGCAAUUUGCAUCAUGACAGGGAAAAUGCUAAGCAAUUGUGCUAUCCUAGAACCAGAAGGAACAGAGGAAAAGGUAGCAAUAUUUAACUUAUUGAAGUCCAUUGAGAUUGUGAAGCAAUAUAGGAGAAAUGAAAAUAAAGAACUCUGCCACAGGCUGUCAAAAAUGACUUUUUUUUUUGAAAAGGCAAACAGCCUUCUUGCUUCUGAUUGCUGUACUGUGUCGGCAGGCAGGAGACAGUGCUUAGAGCAUUCAUUGUCUCCUACUGUUCACAUGUAUGUUCUGAACAGUAGGAAACUCACUCAUUUCCAAUGCACACUUUAUGGUAAAAAGAGGAUUUUGCUCCAUUUUUGUAUUCUUACUCCCAUAAUUUCCUUUCUUAUGAUUUGAAAAAUGUCUAAGCAAAUGUUAGCAAAGGGAUGUUAGUUUUUGUAGUGCAGAUAAAAAGAGAACAGUUUAAAUGGAAAUCAUUGUAGCUCUUCAGCUCACUUUCUUCCCAUUAUAAAACAUGGAAUUGGAAAAAAAUCUUCAGAGAUGAUGGAACACAAAAUAACCAAAGGAACAAAGAGGAAUGAAUGUGCACAGUAUCAGCAGCCCUGAUGCUUCAGAUCUGCAAAUUAACAGCUGUAUUAUGCAUGAAUUAUCAGCACAGCAAGUAAAAUAAACUGCUGAUUACUAUCUCA
rnacentral:lncRNA from 1 species